rnacentral:rRNA from 1 species
UUAUAUAUAUUAUUAUUUUUAUUUUUUGUUUUUUAUUUAUUUAAUAGAAAUAAUUUUAUUGGUUAAGUGUCUUAGUAUAUUUUAUAGAAUGGAUUCUAAUUAUUAUAGUUUAUUAGUAAUGUAAUUGGUUUAUGAAAUAAUUUAUUUAAAUAAAUUAAAGUAAAUUUAAUUUAUUGUACCUUUUGUAUCAGGGUUUAUUAAAAUUUUAGUAUAAAUAAUACUAUUCUCAAUUUAGGUUGAUUUAUAAAUAUAUUUACUUUAAUGUAUCAUAAUUAUUAUAAAUAUAUUUAUAGAAAUGAAAUGUUAUUCGUUUCCUAAUAUAUUUAGUUUCCUAAGAAAAAAUUUAAUUUUUUAGAGUUUCUGUUUAAUUUAAUUUUUUAAUUUACAAUAUUUACUUAUUAACUCUUUAGGGGAUAAGCUCUGGAGAAUAAUUAUCCUAUAAUUUAUUAAUUUAAAAUAUAAUUAUAAGCUUUAAACCAGCUAUUUUUUGAUUACGUUUUAGUUCAUUAUUUUUUAUUAUAAUUUUAUAAAAAUUUUAGGUUUUAUAUUAGGAUAAUAAAUUAAAUAUUAUAAUUUUUGUAAUAAUGAUGAAAUUAGUAUAAUAUUAUUGUUUGAAAUAUUUAAUUCUAAUAACUUAUUAUAAGGAAUUAGGCAAAAUAAAUUUCCGCCUGUUUAUCAAAAACAUGUCCUCUUGAACUAUAUUUUGAGGUCUGGCCUGCUCACUGAAAAUUUUAAAGAGCCGCGGUAUUUUGACCGUGCAAAGGUAGCAUAAUCAUUAGUCUUUUAAUUAAGGGCUGGAAUGAAUGGCUUGACGAGAAAUUAACUGUCUCUUAAUAAUUUAUAUAAUUUAACUUUUAAGUCAAAAGGCUUAAAUUUUUCUUUAGGACGAGAAGACCCUAUAGAGCUUGACAUUUUAUUUAUAUAUAGUUUUUAGUUGGUCUUUCUAUAUAUAAUGAUAAUGUUUUGUUGGGGUGACAUGAAGAAUAAAUAAACUCUUCAUUAUAAAAUCAUUUAUUUAUGUUUAUUUGAUCCAUAAUUUAUGAUCAUAAGAUUAAGUUACCUUAGGGAUAACAGCGUAAUUGUUUUUGAGAGCUCAUAUUAACAAAGCAGAUUGCGACCUCGAUGUUGGAUUAAGAAAAGUUUUGGGUGCAGUAGCUCAUUAACUAGGUCUGUUCGACCUUUAAAUUCUUACAUGAUCUGAGUUCAGACCGGCGUGAGCCAGGUCGGUUUCUAUCCUAAGUUUUAAGAAAUUCAUAUUAGUACGAAAGGACCAUAUGGAUAAAAUAUUUUUUAUCUAAUUGAUUAAAAUUAAUUU